CCUACGGGGGGCAGCAGUGGGGGAUAUUGCACAAUGGGGGGAACCCUGAUGCAGCGACGCCGCGUGGGUGAAGAAGCGCCUCGGCGCGUAAAGCCCUGUCAGCAGGGAAGAAAAUGACGGUACCUGAAGAAGAAGCCCCGGCUAACUACGUGCCAGCAGCCGCGGUAAUACGUAGGGGGCAAGCGUUAUCCGGAUUUACUGGGUGUAAAGGGGGCGCAGACGGCGAUGCAAGCCAGGAGUGAAAGCCCGGGGCUCAACCCCGGGACUGCAUUUGGAACUGUAAGGCUAGAGUGUCGGAGAGGCAG
rnacentral:rRNA from 1 species